rnacentral:lncRNA from 1 species
AGAUGGCCAAGGAGGACUCAAGGUAAUGUUUCUGUCACAUACCCACACCAGAGCAUGUCAGUCUUUUUGAGGAUUGAACAGAGUCUCCAUAGCAGACAGGACAUUAAAUUCGGUGACCGUGCUAUGAAAAUAUGCAAAGGUGUUAUUCAUGACUGCAUAGAUCCCAGAGGAACACCAGGGAAUAUUUAGGAGGUCUCACAAAUACUCACCUAAGGGAAGUCAGAACACCCUCUCUCAACCACAGCAUGGCAGAGAGCAAAGCCAGACCAAGCUCCAACACACUGAUGAUCAGCAUCACUGAAAGGGCUCCCUAAAUUCAGGAAAAGAGAGGAAGUGGGUGAAGAGGACAAACUAAAUCAACAAAGCUGGUUUCCGCCACUUCUCAUCCCUCUUGGGCACCGAUCCUGACUAUAAUGUUCACUGAAUGUGGGAACAGAAAGAAACUGUGACCCCCAGAUAAUGAAAGUUGAGCUAAGACCAGUCUGAAAGCUACAGUUACAGCAACAGAAAAGUAAUUAACGUUCUGUAUAUUUGGGAGAGUGGUUUCGUCGGCUCUUCCUAACUAAAUCCCUAAGCUAUUGAGUUACGUGGCAUUCUCUCCCAUGACUUCCUGAAUCAACUUCUUGAGGAAUGUGUGAUGACUGAGGACUAGGUGCGUCUUUACAUCAUUCCAAGAGUUCAGCUUUCUUCUGCCCAGGACUAGUUUUUCACUGGAAGAAACUAAAGUAGGAAACUCUAAAUUCUUAGGUAAUACAAAUGAUGACUACUGAGACUUUCAGAAUUCCAACAUUCUGCUUUUCAGUUCAAAUUGUAUAUUCAGUUCUAGCAAAGCAUUUCUUUUAUGGAGAUAUAAAUAAAAGACUUUUGUCAUGUGAA